UACGGAGGGGGCUAGCGUUGUUCGGAAUUACUGGGCGUAAAGCGCGCGUAGGCGGCUUUGUAAGUUAGAGGUGAAAGCCCGGAGCUCAACUCCGGAACUGCCUUUAAGACUGCAUCGCUAGAAUCAUGGAGAGGUGAGUGGAAUUCCGAGUGUAGAGGUGAAAUUCGUAGAUAUUCGCAAGAACACCAGUGGCGAAGGCGGCUCACUGGCCCGAUACUGACGCUGAGGUGCGAAAGCGUGGGGAGCAAACAGG
rnacentral:rRNA from 1 species